GACGAACCGUGCGAACGUUGUUCGGAUUCACUGGGCUUAAAGGGCGCGUAGGCGGGUGAUCAAGUCCGGGGUGAAAUCCUCCAGCUUAACUGGAGAAUAGCCUUGGAUACUGGUCGUCUUGAGGAAGGUAGGGGCAUGUGGAACUUCCGGUGGAGCGGUGAAAUGCGCAGAUAUCAGGAGGAACACCGGUGGCGAAGGCGGGUCUCUGGGCCGAUACUGACGCUGAGGAGCGAAAGCGUGGGGAGCGAACAGG
rnacentral:rRNA from 1 species